CAAGUGGCCAGAGACCACACAUCUGAUGCCUCAUCCCACCUGCCUACUUAAGUCCAGGGCAAGGCACAGAGCCAAAUCCCUCCACUUAGGGAUUGCCCUCGUUUGAACAAUCGCUUAAAGCAGCGUCUUGUCAAAGUGUGGCCCUGCACCACCCGCCUCAGAACUACUCAAAAGAGUUUGCGUAAAACGCAGAUUCUGGGGCCCAAACCCUCCUACCGAGUCUGCCUCCGCAAGCAGGACCCAGAAUAAGCGCCGCCUCCGCCCCUCCUCCCCCGCCCCACGUGAUCCUUAGGUGAGUGGUUCUCAAACUUAAAUGGGGAUGAGGGCACGAUUCCCUCGCGGACCUAACUCAACCCCAGGCAGUCUCUGUGACAAACGGGAAAGGAAUCCCACAGGCCAGGGCUGGGCGCGCUGAGCCCAGUGUGGACCGCACUCGGCCAUCACCUGUCUGCGCACCUGAACCCACUGAGGAUGCAACCCAGCGAGCUGGGUCUACUCAACCCUCGGACAUUGAACCUGUUGAACUUGCUGAAGUUAAAGCCCUCCCAGGAUGCAAGUGAUCCUAAAAACAGGUACUAUCUAGAAGUGAGCCAUCCAAGUUGGUGCCUUCAAGAUACUUGCACUCCCGGGGAGGAGAAAAAAUAAGCCAACAAAUAAAUAGUAAAACCAUAAAAAUAUAAAGGAUGACAGGUAAGCACAAUAACAUGUAUGUGUGUGUUAGACCAAUUGAAAUUGACGAUAUUCUACCAUUUUGACCUACAAGGAUAGCCAUUUUCUGUGGUAUGACCAUCUGUAUUGUUGAGGUGGGGAGAGUGGAGAUUCUGCAUAAGGUCAUGAGAAAAGACUUCUCAGAGAAGGUGGCAGAUGAGCAGAGACCUGUAUGCAAGGAGGAAGGGAGCCAUGUAAAAAUGGUGGGAAGAGUGUUCCAGACUUAGGGGAAAGCAAAGUUCAGGAUUUUGAGGUGGGAAUUCUGGGUGCGUGUGUGAAGAAGGUCUGGAUAUCCAGUGUGGAUACAAUAGAGGAACAGGGGCAAAAACAGUAUGAGAUAAGAUGAACGUGGCAGCCAGAUAUAGAUGACAUAGGGCCUCAUGUGACCCACAGGACAUAACAAAGACUUUGAGUUUUAUUCUGGGAGUCAAAUGAGAAGCACUUAGAGGUUUGAGAACAGAGGUGAUGUGAUGAAAGAUCAGCCUUAGGAACACUAGGGAGGUGAGACUGUAGAGGGGCCAGCAUGGAAGCGGGUGGAGGGGCAGUUGGGUCACCACGGCAGGAUCCAGGAAGGAGGUGAUGGUGACAGGCAAGGUUGUUAGCACUGAAGGAGGUGAGAACGGGUAGACUUUACGACACAAAAGCGGCAGGAUUUUACGGAUUGAAUUCGAUGUAACAGUUGAGAAUGAAAAGUUAAAGAUGACAAGAUUUUUGGCCUGAGCUACCGAUAAGUGCUGGAGCCAUUUACUGAACUAGGAAAGACAGAAGAAGGUGAAAUUUAACGUGGGUGGAAAAAGUAAAGAGUUUGAUUUUAGAUACAUUCAAUUUAACAUUCUUCUUAUAUAUCCAUUUUGAGAUAACUGUAUAGAAGUUGAAUAAACAAAUCUCGAGUUUUAAGAAUAGGACAAAAUGGGAUAUAUACACUUGGAAGUUAUUAGCAUAAAGAUCUAUUUAAUGCAUGGGACUGGUAGAAAUCACCUAGGGAAAGUGAAUAGGGCAGAGAAGAGAUCUAAGAACAGUGGUCCAGGGGUGCCUGGGUGGCUCAGUGAGUUAAGCAGCCGACGUUGGCUCAGGUCAUGAUCUCUCGGUCCAUGAGUUUGAGCCC